AAUGGGCGAAAGCCUGAUCCAGCUACGCCGCGUGAGUGAUGAAGGCCCUCGGGUUGUAAAGCUCUGUCGGGAGGGACGAAGAUCUGACGGUACCUCCCAAGAAAGCACCGGCUAACUCCGUGCCAGCAGCCGCGGUAAUACGGAGGGUGCAAGCGUUGCUCGGAAUUACUGGGCGUAAAGCGACCGCAGGCGGUCGGGUAGGUCGAGUGUGAAAGCCCGGGGCUCAACCCCGGAACUGCACUCGAAACCCCUCGACUUGAGUAUGGGAGAGGAGGGCGGAAUUCCUGGUGUAGAGGUGAAAUUCGUAGAUAUCAGGAGGAACGCUCGCGGCGAGGCGGCUCUCUGGCCAAUACUGACGCUCAUGGUCGAAAGCAUGGGGAGCAAACAGGAUU
rnacentral:rRNA from 1 species